rnacentral:piRNA from 1 species
UCUUAUUGUCUUUGUUCCUGGUUGAA